AGUGAACGCUGGCGGUAGGCCUAACACAUGCAAGUCGAACGGCAGCACAGGAGAGCUUGCUCUCUGGGUGGCGAGUGGCGGACGGGUGAGGAAUACAUCGGAAUCUACUUUUUCGUGGGGGAUAACGUAGGGAAACUUACGCUAAUACCGCAUACGACCUACGGGUGAAAGCAGGGGAUCUUCGGACCUUGCGCGAUUGAAUGAGCCGAUGUCGGAUUAGCUAGUUGGCGGGGUAAAGGCCCACCAAGGCGACGAUCCGUAGCUGGUCUGAGAGGAUGAUCAGCCACACGGGAACUGAGACACGGUCCAGACUCCUACGGGAUGCAGCAGUGGGGAAUAUUGGACAAUGGGCGCAAGCCUGAUCCAGCCAUUCCGCGUGGGUGAAGAAGGCCUUCGGGUUGUAAAGCCCUUUUGUUGGGAAAGAAAUCCAGCUGGUUAAUACCCGGUUGGGAUGUCGGUACCCAAAGAAUAAGCACCGGCUAACUUCGUGCCAGCCGCCGCCGUAA
rnacentral:rRNA from 1 species